rnacentral:lncRNA from 1 species
GCAAGAAUAUGUGUUGAGGAUUUCAAUUUAUUUAGCUGGCAACUAAGAACCUAAAAAAAAAAAAUCAUGACUAUCCAAAUAAGAAUGCUUAGUGGAAGAUAAAACUCAAUAAAAUUAGGUUUAAAAUAUCUGAUUUAUGACCUCCCAGGUAACUGCAGAAAAUGCUUUGAAAGGCAGAAAUGGGGCUAUGUGCAGUCCUUGUCUCUGCGAGCCUCUGCAGCGCCUCCUCUCGGCCAGGAGUCAGCAGCCCUUCGUGACUUCUGCUGUCGUGUCACGCUGGUUAGAGCCGGCAUCUGAGACAGCCCAGUCAGACGAGAGAGAAGGGGACGCAUGAGACCGCGA